UACGAAGGGGGCUAGCGUUGCUCGGAAUCACUGGGCGUAAAGGGUGCGUAGGCGGGUUUUUAAGUCAGAGGUGAAAUCCUGGAGCUCAACUCCAGAACUGCCUUUGAUACUGAAAGUCUUGAGUACGGGAGAGGUGAGUGGAACUGCGAGUGUAGAGGUGAAAUUCGUAGAUAUUCGGAAGAACACCAGUGGCGAAGGCGGCUCACUGGACUGGUAUUGACGCUGAGGUGCGAAAGCGUGGGGAGCAAACAGG
rnacentral:rRNA from 1 species